rnacentral:rRNA from 1 species
CUCAGGACGAACGCUGGCGGCGUGCCUAAUACAUGCAAGUCGAACGGUCUUUUCUAUGGAAGCUUGCUUCCACUGAGAAGAUAGUGGCGAACGGGUGAGUAACACGUGGGUAACCUGCCCAUAAGAGGGGGGAUAACAUCCGGAAACGGGUGCUAAUACCGCAUAGUUUUCUUGAUCGCAUGAUCGGGAAAGGAAAGACGGCCUUUGUGCUGUCGCUUAUGGAUGGACCCGCGGCGUAUUAGUUAGUUGGUGAGGUAACGGCUCACCAAGACGAUGAUACGUAGCCGACCUGAGAGGGUGAUCGGCCACAUUGGGACUGAGACACGGCCCAAACUCCUACGGGAGGCAGCAGUAGGGAAUCUUCCGCAAUGGACGAAAGUCUGACGGAGCAACGCCGCGUGAGUGAAAGAAGGUUUUCGGAUCGUAAAACUCUGUUGUCAGAGAAGAACAAGUUGGAGAGUAACUGCUCCAGCCUUGACGGUAUCUGACCAGAAAGCCACGGCUAACUACGUGCCAGCCGCGGC